rnacentral:rRNA from 1 species
AUUGAACGCUGGCGGCAGGCCUAACACAUGCAAGUCGAACGAGUUGCGGACGGGUGCGUAAUGUCUGGGAAACUGCCCGAUGGAGGGGGAUAACUACUGGAAACGGUAGCUAAUACCGCAUACCAUCCGAUUUCCCCAGAUGGGGUUAUCUUGUAGGUGAGGUAACGGCUCACCUAGGCACCGAUCCCUAGCUGGUCUGAAAGGAUGACCAGCCACCAUGGAACUUAGACACGGUCCAGACUCCGACGGGAGGCAGCAGUAGGGAAUAUUGCACAAUGGGCGCAAGCCUGAUGCAGCCAUGCCGCGUGUAUGAAGAAGGCCUUCGGAUUGUAAAGUACUUUCAGCGGGGAAGCGUUACCCGCAGAAGAAGCACCGGCUAACUCCGUGCCAGCAGCCGCGGUAAUAC